ACCCGCUGAACUUAAGCAUAUCAGUAAGCGGAGGAAAAGAAAACAAAAGUGAUUCCCUAAGUAGCUGCGAGCGAACCGGGAAAAGCGCAAAACCGAAUCUGCUACUGUAUUCACCGGUAGCCGAAAUGUGGCUUAUGGUCCAACCUCGGUUCUGAAUCGGCUCUGAAGUUUGCUGGAACGCAACGCCAUAGAGGGUUAGAGCCCUGUAAGAGCGCGCCGGAACCGGUCCAGGUUGGAACCGCGAGUCGCACUGUUUGAGAGCACAGUGCUAAGAUGGGAGGUGAGUAUCUCCUAACGCUAAAUAUUAAUCCUAGUCCGAUAGCAUACAAGUACCGUGAGGGAAAGAUGCAAAGAACUUUGAAAAGAGAGUUAUAAGAACCUGAAAUUGGUAAUGGGGAAGGGUUCGAGCGAUCUGCGUGCCUCUUCAGCUCUGCUUCCGAAUUAACGUUCGGGAGUGAUAUUCUGUAAGCCGCCCGGGACGUUUUGGAAUGGUCCUACAAGGGUUUGGGGAAGCGGCAUUAGCUUCGGUUAGUGUACUACCCUGCUCUCUAAGUUCCG
rnacentral:rRNA from 1 species